CUGCAUCCCACAGGUGUGAUAAGCUGUCCCCAUGUCCCUGCUGGACCAUUCCACUCUGGAAACACAGAUAACAGAAAUCCACUUCACUGCCCAGCCCCCAGACACUCUGCAUGGUUUUGUCCCUUUCUGUUGGUUAUUUUUUUGGGUCUGCUCUGUUCUGUGAAGCCACACGUGCUCUGCUGUUAUUCUGGUGGGGUCUGCAGAGCAUCUGGGGCCCAAACAGCCCAGGGCCUGCUGAGAGAGCUCAGGAGGAUCUCAGCUUGUCUCUGCAAUGCAGACUUUUUUAUCCAGUUACACAAAACCACCCAAACCCAUGGAAAAGAAGGUGAAGGAGGAGAAGGCGACAGAGGAGCAGAAGAAGAAGAAGAAGAAGAAGAAGAAGAAGAAGAAGAAGAAGAAGAGGAGGAGGAGGAGAAUAAGGAGAAAUAGGAGGAAAAGAAGACCAUGCAGCUGAGCUGUGCACAACCAGGCCACCACAAGAUUUCUGCAGCUUCUGCAAUGAUGAUAAAAUAAAAGAGAUGAAAUGACCGCUGGGCUAAAAUAAAAACCUCUUUAAAGCUCCAUGGCAUAAAAGGCAUUGUUUAAUUGAGGGUACUUUAUUCCCUGUAAGAACAUUAAAUCCUGGAUCACAGUUUUGAG